GAUCAUGGCUCAGGAUGAACGCUAGCUACAGGCUUAACACAUGCAAGUCGAGGGGCAGCAUUUUAGUUUGCUUGCAAACUAAAGAUGGCGACCGGCGCACGGGUGAGUAACACGUAUCCAACCUGCCGAUAACUCGGGGAUAGCCUUUCGAAAGAAAGAUUAAUAUCCGAUGGUUAAAAAAAAAAAAAAAAAUUCCGCAUGGUUUUACUAUUAAAGAAUUUCGGUUAUCGAUGGGGAUGCGUUCCAUUAGUUUGUUGGCGGGGUAACGG
rnacentral:rRNA from 1 species